rnacentral:rRNA from 1 species
CAGUAGCCACGGGAAUACGGAGGGUGCAAGCGUUAUCCGGAUUUAUUGGGUUUAAAGGGUCCGUAGGCGGACUUAUAAGUCAGUGGUGAAAGCCUGUCGCUUAACGAUAGAACUGCCAUUGAUACUGUAAGUCUUGAGUAUAUUUGAGGUAGCUGGAAUAAGUAGUGUAGCGGUGAAAUGCAUAGAUAUUACUUAGAACACCAAUUGCGAAGGCAGGUUACCAAGAUAUAACUGACGCUGAGGGACGAAAGCGUGGGUAGCGAACAGGAUUAGAUACCCCUGUAGUCCCUGUCUCUUAUAC